UUCUGAUUUCGGUCAGUUCCGAGUGAUGGUAAAGUGGUCGUGCAGCCUUUCAGCCGUGUCUGCGUAAGCAGGUGUUGGCUGGUCGGUGAGCUUGCUCGCUGGCUAGUUGACAUGUUUCCUGAUGCCUUUAAACGGGUGUCGGGGGCGUACGGCACUUUUACUUUGAACAAAUUUGAGUGCUCAAAGCAGGCCCAUGUGCCUGAAAAGUCUUGCAUGGAAUAAUGGAAUAGGACUUCGGUUCUAUUUUGUUGGUUUCCGGAUCCGAAGUAAUGGUUAAGAGGAACAGACGGGGGCAUUUGUAUGGCGGCGUGAGAGGUGAAAUUCUAUGAUCGUCGCCAGACAAACUACAGCGAAAGCAUUUGCCAAGAAUGUUUUCAUUGAUCAGGAGCGAAAGUCAGAGGUUCGAAGACGAUCAGAUACCGUCCUAGUUCUGACCAUAAACGAUGCCAACUGACGAUCCGCGGCGGUUCUUUAAUUGGCCCCGCGGGCAGUCCCCGGGAAACCCUUAAGUCUUUGGGCUCCGGGGGAAGUAUGGUUGCAAAGCUGAAACUUAAAGGAAUUGACGGAAGGGCACCACCAGGAGUGGAGCCUGCGGCUUAAUUCGACUCAACACGGGAAAACUCACCCGGCCCGGACACUGUGAGGAUUGACAGAUUGAUAGCUCUUUCUUGAUUCGGUGGUUGGUGGUGCAUGGCCGUUCUUAGUUGGUGGAGCGAUUUGUCUGGUUAAUUCCGAUAACGAACGAGACUUUGACCUACUAAUUAGUUUGCCUAUCCUCUGUGCUCGUGCAGGUCUCGGGUUCUGCUGCCCCCUCGAGGGGUGGUGGAGUCGUGGAUCGGCGGGUACGGCGUGGUGCUUACUUCUUAGAGGGACAAGCGGCGCUGCGAGUCGCACGAAAUUGAGCAAUAACAGGUCUGUGAUGCCCUUAGAUGUCCGGGGCCGCACGUGCGCUACAAUGACGGUGCCAGCGAGCAUGGAAACCUGGCCCGAAAGGGCUGGGCAAACUUUUCAUCACCGUCGUGACUGGGAUCGGGGCUUGCAAUUAUUCCCCGUGAACGAGGAAUUCCUAGUAAGUGCAAGUCAUAAGCUUGCGCUGAUUACGUCCCUGCCCUUUGUACACACCGCCCGUCGCUACUACCGAUUGAAUGGUCAAGCUGAGGUAAUCGGAUUGGUACUGUUUUAGCGGCUCUGUCGCUUGACUGGUAUCGAGAAGAUG
rnacentral:rRNA from 1 species